rnacentral:rRNA from 1 species
CGCUGGCGGCAUGCCUAACACAUGCAAGUCGAACGAAGUCUUCGGACUUAGUGGCGCACGGGUGAGUAACAUGUAGGAAUCUACCUAAAGGUUCGGAAUAACUGCGGGAAACUGUAGCUAAUACCGGAUGUGUCUGCAAAGAGAAAGAUUUAUCGCCUUUAGAUGAGCCUGCACUAGAUUAGUUUGUUGGUGAGGUAAAAGCUCCACCAAGACUACGAUCUAUAGCUGAUUUGAGAGGAUGAUCAGCCACACUGGGACUGAGACACGGCCCAGACUCCUACGGGAGGCAGCAGUGGGGAAUAUUGGACAAUGGGGGAAACCCUGAUCCAGCAAUGCCGCGUGAGUGAAGAAGGCCCUCGGGUUGUAAAACUCUUUCAUCAGUGAAGAUAAUGACAUUAACUGAAGAAGAAGCUCCGGCUAACUCCGUGCCAGCAGCCGCGGUAAUACGGAGGGGGCUAGCGUUGUUCGGAAUUACUGGGCGUAAAGCGCAUGUAGGCGGAUCAAAAAGUUAGAUGUGAAAUCCCUGAGCUUAACUCAGGAACUGCAUUUAAAACUAGUGAUCUAGAAUUUGGUAGAGGAUAGUAGAAUUUCCAGUGUAGAGGUGAAAUUCGUAGAUAUUGGAAAGAAUACCAGAGGCGAAGGCGACUAUCUGGGCCAAUUUUGACGCUGAGAUGCGAAAGCGUGGGUAGCAAACAGGAUUAGAUACCCUGGUAGUCCACGCAGUAAACGAUGAGUGCUAGUCGCUGGGUCAUUAGAUUCGGUGUCGAAGCUAACGCAUUAAGCACUCCGCCUGGGAAGUACGGU